rnacentral:rRNA from 1 species
AGAGUUUGAUCAUGGCUCAGGAUGAACGCUGGCGGCGUGCCUAACACAUGCAAGUCGAGCGAUUCUCUUCGGAGAAGAGCGGCGGACGGGUGAGUAACGCGUGGGUAACCUGCCCUGUACACACGGAUAACAUACCGAAAGGUAUGCUAAUACGAGAUAAUAUGUUUUAUCGCAUGGUAGAAGUAUCAAAGCUCCGGCGGUACAGGAUGGACCCGCGUCUGAUUAGCUAGUUGGUAAGGUAGCGGCUUACCAAGGCGACGAUCAGUAGCCGACCUGAGAGGGUGAUCGGCCACAUUGGAACUGAGACACGGUCCAAACUCCUACGGGAGGCAGCAGUGGGGAAUAUUGCACAAUGGGCGAAAGCCUGAUGCAGCAACGCCGCGUGAGCGAUGAAGGCCUUCGGGUCGUAAAGCUCUGUCCUCAAGGAAGAUAAUGACGGUACUUGAGGAGGAAGCCCCGGCUAACUACGUG